GACGAACGCUGGCGGCGUGGAUUAGGCAUGCAAGUCGAACGGUAGGAUCCUUUCGGGGAUCUGAGAGUGGCGAACGGGUGAGUAACACGUAGGUGAUCUACCCUCAAGACGGGGACAACCCAGGGAAACUUGGGCUAAUACCGGAUGUGAGCUAUCGCGAGAUAGUUUGAAAGGUGGCUUCGGCUGCCGCUUGAGGAUGAGCCUGCGUCCUAUUAGCUAGUUGGUGAGGUAACGGCUCACCGAGGCAGUGAUAGGUAGGCGGCCUUAACGGGUGGUCGCCCACACUGGGAUUGAGAUACGGCCCAGACUCCUACGGGAGGCAGCAGUCGAGAAUAGCCUACAAUGGUCGAAAGACUGAUAGUGCGACGCCGCGUGAACGAAGAAGCCCUUCGGGGUGUAAAGUUCUUUUAUAUGUGAGCAGUGACACCCAUAUUAAUAGUAUGGGUGUAGAGAUAUUAGCAUAUGAAUAAGCAACGGCUAACUCCGUG
rnacentral:rRNA from 1 species